rnacentral:rRNA from 1 species
AGUGAACGCUGGCGGUAGGCCUAACACAUGCAAGUCGAACGGCAGCACAGUAAGAGCUUGCUCUUACGGGUGGCGAGUGGCGGACGGGUGAGGAAUACAUCGGAAUCUACUUUUUCGUGGGGGAUAACGUAGGGAAACUUACGCUAAUACCGCAUACGACCUACGGGUGAAAGCAGGGGAUCUUCGGACCUUGCGCGAUUGAAUGAGCCGAUGUCGGAUUAGCUAGUUGGCGGGGUAAAGGCCCACCAAGGCGACGAUCCGUAGCUGGUCUGAGAGGAUGAUCGGCCACACUGGAACGGAGACACGGUCCAGACUCCUACGGGAGGCAGCAGUGGGGAAUAUUGGACAAUGGGCGCAAGCCUGAUCCAGCCAUACCGCGUGGGUGAAGAAGGCCUUCGGGUUGGAAAGCCCUUUUGUUGGGAAAGAAAAGCAGCAGGUUAAUACCCCGCUGUUCUGACGGUACCCAAAGAAUAAGCACCGGCUAACUUCGUG